rnacentral:rRNA from 1 species
UACGUAGGGGGCAAGCGUUGUCCGGAUUUAUUGGGCGUAAAGAGCGUGUAGGCGGUCAUGCAGGUCCGUUGUGAAAACUCGAGGCUCAACCUCGAGACGCCGGUGGAAACCGUGUGGCUAGAGUCCGGAAGAGGAGAGUGGAAUUCCUGGUGUAGCGGUGAAAUGCGCAGAUAUCAGGAAGAACACCCGUGGCGAAGGCGGCUCUCUGGGACGGUACUGACGCUGAGACGCGAAAGCGUGGGGAGCGAACAGG